rnacentral:rRNA from 1 species
CAGCAGCCACGGUAAUACGAAGGGUGCAAGCGUUACUCGGAAUUACUGGGCGUAAAGCGUGCGUAGGUGGUUGUUUAAGUCUGCUGUGAAAGCCCUGGGCUCAACCUGGGAAUUGCAGUGGAUACUGGGCAACUAGAGUAAGGUAGAGGAUAGUGGAAUUUCCGGUGUAGCAGUGAAAUGCGUAGAGAUCGGAAGGAACAUCUGUGGCGAAGGCGACUAUCUGGGCCAUUACUGACACUGAGGCACGAAAGCGUGGGGAUCAAACAGGAUUAGAUACCCCUGUAGUCCCUGUCUCUUAUAC